rnacentral:piRNA from 1 species
UAUAAAACGCCACAUUAUUGGCCUCUUGCCUU